rnacentral:rRNA from 1 species
UGGGGAAUAUUGGACAAUGGGCGAAAGCCUGAUCCAGCCAUGCCGCGUGUGUGAAGAAGGCCUUUUGGUUGUAAAGCACUUUAAGCGAGGAGGAGGAGCUUCAGGUUAAUACCCUGGAUGCUUGGACGUUACUCGCAAAAUAAGCACCGGCUAACUCUGUG